UUUGUGCCUUCGGGAACCGUGAGACAGGUGCUGCAUGGCUGUCGUCAGCUCGUGUUGUGAAAUGUUGGGUUAAGUCCCGCAACGAGCGCAACCCUUAUCCUUUGUUGCCAGCGGUCCGGCCGGGAACUCAAAGGAGACUGCCAGUGAUAAACUGGAGGAAGGUGGGGAUGACGUCAAGUCAUCAUGGCCCUUACGACCAGGGCUACACACGUGCUACAAUGGCGCAUACAAAGAGAAGCGACCUCGCGAGAGCAAGCGGACCUCAUAAAGUGCGUCGUAGUCCGGAUUGGAGUCUGCAACUCGACUCCAUGAAGUCGGAAUCGCUAGUAAUCGUGGAUCAGAAUGCCACGGUGAAUACGUUCCCGGGCCUUGUACACACCGCCCGUCACACCAUGGGAGUGGGUUGCAAAAGAAGUAGGUAGCUUAACCUUCGGGAGGGCGCUUACCACUUUGUGAUUCAUGACUGGGGUGAAGUCGUAACAAGGUAACCGUAGGGGAACCUGC
rnacentral:rRNA from 1 species